rnacentral:rRNA from 1 species
AGAGUUUGAUCAUGGCUCAGAACGAACGCUGGCGGCGUGCUUAACACAUGCAAGUCGCGUGCGCAGUUUCCGUAGCAAUACGGGGAUGGGCGCACGGCGCACGGGUGCGUAACACGUGGGCAAUCUGCCCUCCGAUGGGGAAUACCCCCGCGAAAGCGGGACUAAUUCCGCAUAACAUUCCUUGGAUUAACUUUCGAGGAUUCAAAGCAGCAAUGCGUCGGAGGAGGAGCCCGCGCCCGAUUAGCUAGUUGGUGAGGUAACGGCUCACCAAGGCAAUGAUCGGUAGCUGGUCUGAGAGGAUGGCCAGCCACACUGGAACUGAGACACGGUCCAGACUCCUACGGGAGGCAGCAGUGGGGAAUCUUGCACAAUGGGCGAAAGCCUGAUGCAGCGACGCCGCGUGGGGGAUGAAGCUUUUCGGAGUGUAAACCCCUUUCGACUGGGACGAAUGCCUCGCAAGAGGAGUGACGGUACCAGUAUAAGAAGCCCCAGCUAACUACGUGCCAGCAGCCGCGGUAAGACGUAGGGGGCCAGCGUUGUUCGGAAUUACUGGGUGUAAAGGGUUCGUAGGCGGUGUGGCAAGUCGGGAGUGAAAUCUCUGGGCUCAACCCAGAGACUGCUUCCGAAACUGCUGUGCUUGAGUGUGAGAGAGGCUCGUGGAAUUGCAGGUGUAGCGGUGAAAUGCGUAGAUAUCUGCAGGAACACCCGUGGCGAAAGCGGCGAGCUGGAUCACUACUGACGCUGAGACGCGAAAGCGUGGGGAGCGAACAGGAUUAGAUACCCUAGUAGUCC